UACGUAGGGGGCUAGCGUUGUCCGGAAUCAUUGGGCGUAAAGAGCGCGUAGGCGGCCCGAUAAGUCUGCUGUGAAAGUCCAGGGCUCAACCCUGGAAUGCCAGUGGAUACUGUCGGGCUAGAGUACGGAAGAGGCGAGUGGAAUUCCUGGUGUAGCGGUGGAAUGCGCCAGAUAUCAGGAGGAACACCAAUAGCGAAAGGCAGCUCGCUGGGACGUUACUGACGCUGGAGGCGCGGAAAGCGUGGGGAGCAAACAGG
rnacentral:rRNA from 1 species